GCCAAGCCCCAGGUCAGACGGGGGCACCCGUUGAGUUUAAGCAUAUUAAUAAGCGGAGGAAUAGAAACUUACGAGUAUUCCCUUA
rnacentral:rRNA from 8 species